AGGUGCUCAUGAUGCAACUUCCUGGAUGGUGUGUAAACUGUUUAUCAGCAUGUGAAAUCCACAUGAUUGAAGGAGAAGUCUCCCUUGUUAAAGAUCAGCAACGGCAGAUAAACAAUGCAUGAUGCAAUCUGCUCACUAAAAAGAUUACACCAAUACAUCCCAUGCAUGUAUUUCUACCUAUCACCUAUGUAACCUUUGUCAUGCUCUUCAGAGAGUCAUUGACAGGAAAAGGAAUUACCGGUAAGUUGACAGGACUUUACACACUGUUUCUGGUAGCAGCUUAUGAUUGAAUUGAUGGUAGAAGACAUGGCCCACUUAAUCAAAGAUAAUCUGUAUAGAGUGGCACCUUAACCACCACUGGUGAAAUAGAAGAUGACUAGUGGAUGGUCAUCACUUUGCAGCUCACUUUCACUUUCUGCAGCCCAUCUCUUCUCAUCCACAAUCAUUGUCUUUGGAGGAAUGGUGACAGUGCAGUCCUCAUGGCUGGGCAGGUCUACUGCAUGUUGACAGCUGAUACUUGUUCUCUGUUUACUCCGAGAGGCCUACUACACAUUGUACCUCAGUUAUGACUGUACUCGUGCUGGCUUCUAUGAUGUUAAUUUCCUUUACCUGCACUGCGUUAAACUUGGUCAAUUCUGUUACUGUCGAACACCAACAGAUGAAAAUAAGAUUUAGCUGAUCCUGCCAACAUUGUGACAUAAGCAGUCCAAUAUCUCACU